UACGUAGGGUGCAAGCGUUAUCCGGAAUUAUUGGGCGUAAAGAGCUCGUAGGCGGUUUGUCGCGUCUGCUGUGAAAACUGGAGGCUCAACCUCCAGCCUGCAGUGGGUACGGGCAAACUAGAGUGCGGUAGGGGAGAUUGGAAUUCCUGGUGUAGCGGUGGAAUGCGCAGAUAUCAGGAGGAACACCAGCGGCGAAGGCGGCGCUCUGGGCUGGCACUGACGCUGAGGAGCGAAAGCGUGGGUAGCGAACAGG
rnacentral:rRNA from 1 species